UACGUAGGUGGCAAGCGUUGUCCGGAUUUACUGGGCGUAAAGGGCGUGCAGGCGGUCUGUUAAGUUCAGGGUGAAAGCUCCCGGCUCAACUGGGAGAGGUCCUUGGAUACUGGCGGACUUGAGGAGUGCAGAGGUGAGUGGAAUUCUCGGUGUAGUGGUGAAAUGCGUAGAUAUCGAGAGGAACACCAGUGGCGAAGGCGGCUCACUGGGCACCACCUGACGCUGAGGCGCGAAAGCGUGGGGAGCAAACGGG
rnacentral:rRNA from 1 species